CAAACCUCACUCUGACCUAGUAAUGGGGCACAUUUCCUGACCAAUUAGGCCUGAGGACGGGAGACUUUUCAAGCUCUAUCACUCAGUGGCUCUGUCAUCACUAGUCAGUUUCACCAUCAGCCUAGGCUCCUGAUCCUGCAAGCAUUUAUGCAGAUGCAAACUGCAAGAAGAUUUACGAACUCCAGGAUACAAACAGGCUGAAGUCUUGUUGGAAGAAAUGCAAAGGCACUUAACAUGGGCCUCCCUGACUCAGACAAACAGGCAAACCCAG